rnacentral:rRNA from 1 species
UACGUAGGGGGCUAGCGUUGCUCGGAAUCACUGGGCGUAAAGCGCACGUAGGCGGCCUUCUAAGUCAGGGGUGAAAUCCUGGAGCUCAACUCCAGAACUGCCUUUGAUACUGGAGAGCUUGAGUCCGGAAGAGGUGAGUGGAACUCCGAGUGUAGAGGUGAAAUUCGUAGAUAUUCGGAAGAACACCAGUGGCGAAGGCGGCUCACUGGUCCGGUACUGACGCUGAGGUGCGAAAGCGUGGGGAGCAAACAGG